rnacentral:lncRNA from 10 species
AAAAGGACAUGCUUUGUAUGGAAAACAGCGUGAGAGAAACCACUCAUUUGGAAACAGGUAGAACAUCUCUGUUCUAGAAUAGAAAUGAAGGCAGACCUUUCUCGCGGAACGUUUUAAACUGUCUGUGCAUGGUGCUAUGCCAGGUGCUUUCGUAAGUAAUGUUCCAUUGAACUCCCACAAUAACUCUAUGAAUUGCAUAGUCUUACUUCAUUUUACUGAUAAAGAAACUGAGGCUCAAACUUGUUAUGUAACCUGCCCACAGCUGCCCAGUUAGGAAUGGGAUAACUGGAAGGAGAGUCCAAGUUUCUCAGACCAGGAGUAAAAUAAGAAUUUUUGUUUGUUUGUUUUUUGAGAAGGAGUCUCACUCUUUCACCCAGGUUGGAUUGCAGUGGUGUGAUCUCGGCUCACUGCAACCUCCACCUCUUGGGUUCAAACAAUUCUCUUGCCUCAGCCUCCCAAGUAGCUGGGAUUACAGGAGCCUGCCACCACACCCGGCUAAUUUGUUUUUGUUUGUUCG